rnacentral:lncRNA from 1 species
AUUUCUUGAUGAACAACAAUAGAAGUCCUAAGCCUUAAAAUAUAAUCUCUUGAUCCAAUUUUCUUGGUCCUUGCACAAACUUAGACUUCAGGGCAUUGAUACUGAGGGUUAAGUAGAUAUGACAUGACAAUUUCCAAAAUAAAAGAAAAACAAGAGUGAACCUAAAGGAUAAUAUAGUAUGGCGAGUAUAAGAGUCUUGCAAACUUGUGUAUAAAUAGAGAAAAAUAAAAAAAAUUAUCAAAAGAAAAAGUUUGAAAAGGCCAAAAUAGCCAAGCAAGAAGUUCUCGAGAAUAUAGAAAAGCAAAAUGAGUGAAAAAGAAAAAAGAAAGAAAGAAAAUAAAAAUACACAUUCUUGCACAAAUAUCUC